GGCGGACGGGUGAGUAAUGUCUGGGAAACUGCUGAUGGAGGGGGAUAACUACUGGAAACGGUAGCUAAUACCGCAUAACGUCGCAAGACCAAAGAGGGGGACCUUCGGGCCUCUUGCCAUCGGAUGUGCCCAGAUGGGAUUAGCUAGUAGGUGGGGUAACGGCUCACCUAGGCGACGAUCCCUAGCUGGUCUGAAAGGAUGACCAGCCACACUGGAACUGAGACACGGUCCAGACUCCUACGGGAGGCAGCAGUGGGGAAUAUUGCACAAUGGGCGCAAGCCUGAUGCAGCCAUGCCGCGUGUAUGAAGAAGGCCUUCGGGUUGUAAAGUACUUUCAGCGGGGAGGAAGGGAGUAAAGUUAAUACCUUUGCUCAUUGACGUUACCCGCAGAAGAAGCACCGGCUAACUCCGUGCCAGCAGCCGCGGUAAUACGGAGGGUGCAAGCGUUAAUCGGAAUUACUGGGCGUAAAGCGCACGCAGGCGGUUUGUUAAGUCAGAUGUGAAAUCCCCGGGCUCAACCUGGGAACUGCAUCUGAUACUGGCAAGCUUGAGUCUCGUAGAGGGGGGUAGAAUUCCAGGUGUAGCGGUGAAAUGCGUAGAGAUCUGNGAGGNAAUACCGGNUGGCGAAGGCGGCCCCCUGGACGAAGACUGACGCUCAGGUGCGAAAGCGUGGGGAGCAAACAGGAUUAGAUACCCAGGUAGUCCACGCCGUAAACGAUGUCGACUUGGAGGUUGUGCCCUUGAGGCGUGGCUUCCGGAGCUAACGCGUUAAGUCGACCGCCUGGGGAGUACGGCCGCAAGGUUAAAACUCAAAUGAAUUGACGGGGGCCCGCACAAGCGGUGGAGCAUGUGGUUUAAUUCGAUGCAACGCGAAGAACCUUACCUGGUCUUGACAUCCACGGAAGUUUUCAGAGAUGAGAAUGUGCCUUCGGGAACCGUGAGACAGGUGCUGCAUGGCUGUCGUCAGCUCGUGUUGUGAAAUGUUGGGUUAAGUCCCGCAACGAGCGCAACCCUUAUCCUUUGUUGCCAGCGGUCCGGCCGGGAACUCAAAAGAGACUGCCAGUGAUAAACUGGAGGAAGGUGGGGAUGACGCCAACUUCUCAUGGCCCUUACGGCUGCAGCUACCCUGCUGCUACUGUGGUACAUACCAAUAUGCGGAAUCUCGCAAGAGU
rnacentral:rRNA from 1 species